rnacentral:rRNA from 1 species
UGGGGGAUAUUGCACAAUGGGCGAAAGCCUGAUGCAGCGACGCCGCGUGGGGGAUGAAGGCCUUCGGGUUGUAAACUUCUUUUGCCCUGAACAAGGCAUGCUAAUGGGUGUGUUGAGUGUAGGGGUUGAUUAGCGCCGGCUAACUACGUGCCAGCAGCCGCGGUAAUACGUAGGGCGCGAGCGUUGUCCGGAAUUAUUGGGCGUAAAGGGCUUGUAGGUGGCUGGUUGCGUCUGUCGUGAAAGCUCAUGGCUUAACUGUGGGUUUGCGGUGGGUACGGGCUGGCUUGAGUGCAGUAGGGGAGGCUGGAAUUCCUGGUGUAGCGGUGGAAUGCGCAGAUAUCAGGAGAAAUACCGGUGGCGAAGGCGGGUCUCUGGGCUGUUACUGACACUGAGAAGCGAAAGCAUGGGGAGCGAACAGG